GACGAACGCUGGCGGUGUGCUUAACACAUGCAAGUCGAACGGUAAGGCCCUUUCGGGGGUACACGAGUGGCGAACGGGUGAGUAACACGUGAGUAACCUGCCCUCAUCUCUGGGAUAACAGUCGGAAACGGUUGCUAAUACUGGAUAUGAGCUUGCAAGGCAUCUUGUGGGUUGGAAAGAUUUUUUUGGUUGGGGAUGGACUCGCGGCCUAUCAGCUUGUUGGUGAGGUAGUGGCUCACCAAGGCUUCGACGGGUAGCCGGCCUGAGAGGGCGACCGGCCACAUUGGGACUGAGAUACGGCCCAAACUCCUACGGGAGGCAGCAGUGGGGAAUAUUGCACAAUGGACGGAAGUCUGAUGCAGCAACGCCGCGUGCGGGAUGACGGCCUUCGGGUUGUAAACCGCUUUCAAUUGUGACGAAGCUUUUGUGACGGUAGCAGUAGAAGAAGCACCGGCUAACUACGUG
rnacentral:rRNA from 1 species